UACGGAAGGCAGCAGUGGGGAAUAUUGCACAAUGGGCGAAAGCCUGAUGCAGCUAUGCCGCGUGUAUGAAGAAGGCCUUAGGGUUGUAAAGUACUUUCAUCGGGGAGGAAAAAACAAAACUAAUAAUUUUAUUUCUUGACGUUACCCGAAAAAGAAGCACCGGCUAACUCCGUGCCAGCAGCCGCGGUAAUACGGAGGGUGCUAGCGUUAAUCAGAAUUACUGGGCGUAAAGAGCACGUAGGUGGUUUUUUAAGUCAGAUGUGAAAUCCCUGGGCUUUAACCUAGGAACUGCAUUUUGAAACUGAAAUACUAGAGUAUCGUAGAGGGAGGUAGAAUUCUAGGUGUAGCGGUGAAAUGCGUAGAUAUCUGGAGGAAUACCUGUGGCGAAAGCGGCCUCCUAAACGAAUACUGACACUGAGGGUGCGAAAGCGUGGGGAGCAAACGAGGAUUAGAUACC
rnacentral:rRNA from 1 species